AUUGAACGCUGGCGGUAUGCUUAACACAUGCAAGUCGAACGGUAGCAGGCCUUCGGGCGCUGACGAGUGGCGGACGGGUGAGUAACGCGUAGGAAUCUGCCUAGUAGUGGGGGACAACUUAUGGAAACGUAAGCUAAUACCGCAUACGCCCUACGGGGGAAAGCGGGGGAUCUUCGGACCUCGCGCUAUUAGAUGAGCCUGCGUUGGAUUAGCUAGUUGGUGGGGUAAAGGCCUACCAAGGCGACGAUCCAUGGCUGGUCUGAGAGGACGAUCAGCCACGCUGGGACUGAGACACGGCCCAGACUCCUACGGGAGGCAGCAGUGGGGAAUAUUGGACAAUGGGCGAAAGCCUGAUCCAGCAAUACCGCGUGUGUGAAGAAGGCCUGAGGGUUGUAAAGCACUUUCAAUAGGAAGGAAUACCUAUCGGCUAAUACCCGGUAGACUGACAUUACCUAUACAAGAAGCACCGGCUAACUCCGUGCCAGCAGCCGCAGUAA
rnacentral:rRNA from 1 species